GAUGAACGCUGGCGGCGUGCUUAACACAUGCAAGUCGAACGGUGAAGCAGAGCUUGCUCUGUGGAUCAGUGGCGAACGGGUGAGUAACACGUGAGCAACCUGCCCCUGACUCUGGGAUAAGCGCUGGAAACGGCGUCUAAUACUGGAUAUGAGCUGCGACCGCAUGGUCAGCAGUUGGAAAGAUUUUUCGGUCUGGGAUGGGCUCACGGCCUAUCAGCUUGUUGGUGAGGUAAUGGCUCACCAAGGCGUCGACGGGUAGCCGGCCUGAGAGGGUGACCGGCCACACUGGGACUGAGACACGGCCCAGACUCCUACGGGAGGCAGCAGUGGGGAAUAUUGCACAAUGGGCGAAAGCCUGAUGCAGCAACGCCGCGUGAGGGAUGACGGCCUUCGGGUUGUAAACCUCUUUUAGCAGGGAAGAAGCGAAAGUGACGGUACCUGCUGAAAAAGCGCCGGCUAACUACGUG
rnacentral:rRNA from 1 species